UACAGAGGGUGCGAGCGUUAAUCGGAUUUACUGGGCGUAAAGCGUGCGUAGGCGGCUUUUUAAGUCGGAUGUGAAAUCCCUGAGCUUAACUUGGGAAUUGCAUUCGAUACUGGGAAGCUAGAGUAUGGGAGAGGAUGGUAGAAUUCCAGGUGUAGCGGUGAAAUGCGUAGAGAUCUGGAGGAAUACCGAUGGCGAAGGUAGCCAUCUGGCCUAAUACUGACGCUGAGGUACGAAAGCAUGGGGAGCAAACAGG
rnacentral:rRNA from 1 species